rnacentral:rRNA from 1 species
UACGAAGGGGGCUAGCGUUGCUCGGAAUCACUGGGCGUAGAGGGUGCGUAGGCGGGUCUUUAAGUCAGGGGUGAAAUCCUGGAGCUCAACUCCAGAACUGCCUUUGAUACUGAGGAUCUUGAGUUCGGGAGAGGUGAGUGGAACUGCGAGCGUAGAGGUGAAAUUCGUAGAUAUUCGCAAGAACACCAGUGGCGAAGGCGGCUCACUGGCCCGAUACUGACGCUGAGGCACGAAAGCGUGGGGAGCAAACAGG